rnacentral:rRNA from 1 species
UGGGGAAUAUUGGGCAAUGGGCGAAAGCCUGACCCAGCAACGCCGCGUGAAGGAAGAAGGUCUUCGGAUUGUAAACUUCUUUGAUCAGGGACGAAGAAAUGACGGUACCUGAAGAACAAGCCACGGCUAACUACGUGCCAGCAGCCGCGGUAAUACGUAGGUGGCAAGCGUUAUCCGGAUUUACUGGGUGUAAAGGGCGUGUAGGCGGCUCUGCAAGUCAGAUGUGAAAUUCCCAGGCUUAACCUGGGCGCUGCAUCUGAAACUGUGGAACUUGAGUACUGGAGAGGAUAGUGGAAUUCCUAGUGUAGCGGUAAAAUGCGUAGAUAUUAGGAGGAACACCAGUGGCGAAGGCGACUAUCUGGACAGUAACUGACGCUGAGGCGCGAAAGCGUGGGGAGCAAACA